rnacentral:tRNA from 1 species
AUAGCUCAGCUGGGAGAGCGCUUGCAUGGCAUGCAAGAGGUCAGCGGUUCGAUCCCGCUUAGCUCCA